AUACAGAGGGUGCGAGCGUUAAUCGGAAUUACUGGGCGUAAAGCGCGCGUAGGCGGCUACUUAAGUCAGAUGUGAAAUCCCCGGGCUCAACCUGGGAACUGCAUCUGAUACUGGGUAGCUAGAGUUUUGGAGAGGGAAGUAGAAUUUCAGGUGUAGCGGUGAAAUGCAUAGAGAUCUGAAGGAAUACCAGUGGCGAAGGCGACUUCCUGGUCAAAAACUGACGCUGAGGUGCGAAAGCGUGGGUAGCAAACGGGAUUAGAAACCCCAGUAGUCC
rnacentral:rRNA from 1 species